UUGGGCGUAAGAGCUCGUAGGCGGUCUGUCGCGUCUGGUGUGAAAUCCCGAGGCUCAACCUCGGGCUUGCAUCGAGUACGGGCAGACUAGAGUGCGGUAGGGGAGACUGGAAUUCCUGGUGUAGCGGUGGAAUGCGCAGAUAUCAGGAGGAACACCGAUGGCGAAGGCAGGUCUCUGGGCCGCAACUGACGCUGAGGAGCGAAAGCAUGGGGAGCGAACAGGAUUACAUACCCUGGUAGGCCAUGCCGUAAACGUUGGGCACUAGGGGUGGGGCUCAUUCCACGACUUCCGUGCCGCAGCUAACGCAUUAAGUGCCCCGCCUGGGGAGUACGGACGC
rnacentral:rRNA from 1 species